rnacentral:rRNA from 1 species
UACAGAGGGGGCAAGCGUUGUUCGGAAUUACUGGGCGUAAAGGGCGCGUAGGCGGCCUGCUAAGUCGAACGUGAAAUCCCUGGGCUCAACCCAGGAAUUGCGUCCGAUACUGGUUGGCUUGAAUCCGGGAGAGGGAUGUGGAAUUCCAGGUGUAGCGGUGAAAUGCGUAGAUAUCUGGAGGAACACCGGUGGCGAAGGCGGCAUCCUGGACCGAUAUUGACGCUGAGGCGCGAAAGCUAGGGGAGCAAACGGG